UUCAAUGCACCAACCAAGACGGCUUCUCAUCACCGGAUCAAAGUUAAACAAAAAACGCUGAAUUUGAGAUAAAAAAAUAAACGCGUUCGAAGUUGCACAAAGUGUAUUUGUGGUCAACAAAUACAAAAUCUAGCUUUUAAAUUCAUAAAACACUGAUUGUUUACAAAAAUAAAAAAGAAAAAGUAUUUCCAGCUGCCAUAUCCGAUCGGUCCAUUUCAACACACACUAAAAAUACCCGUCUUGACCUGAAC
rnacentral:lncRNA from 1 species